AGGGAAUCUUCGGCAAUGGGGGGAACCCUGACCGAGCAACGCCGCGUGAGUGAAGAAGGUUUUCGGAUCGUAAAGCUCUGUUGUAAGAGAAGAACGGGUGUGAGAGUGGAAAGUUCACACUGUGACGGUAUCUUACCAGAAAGGGACGGCUAACUACGUGCCAGCAGCCGCGGUAAUACGUAGGUCCCGAGCGUUGUCCGGAUUUAUUGGGCGUAAAGCGAGCGCAGGCGGUUAGAUAAGUCUGAAGUUAAAGGCUGUGGCUUAACCAUAGUAUGCUUUGGAAACUGUCUAACUUGAGUGCAGAAGGGGAGAGUGGAAUUCCAUGUGUAGCGGUGAAAUGCGUAGAUAUAUGGAGGAACACCGGUGGCGAAAGCGGCUCUCUGGUCUGUAACUGACGCUGAGGCUCGAAAGCGUGGGGAGCAAACAGGAUUAGAUACCCUGGUAGUCCACGCCGUAAACGAUGAGUGCUAGGUGUUAGGCCCUUUCCGGGGCUUAGUGCCGCAGCUAACGCAUUAAGCACUCCGCCUGGGGAGUACGACCGCAAGGUUG
rnacentral:rRNA from 1 species